rnacentral:rRNA from 1 species
AUUGAACGCUGGCGGCAUGCUUUACACAUGCAAGUCGAACGGCAGCGCGGGCUUCGGUCUGGCGGCGAGUGGGAAAGGGGUAUGAAUGCAUUGGGACCGGGCCACUAAGUGGGGGAUGGCCAGGACAACGCGGAAUUAUAUCUGAUACCGACUGACGGGGGAAAACGGGGGACGGAAAGCCUUCGGGUUCUUGGCACGGCCGUUGCGGAUUUGCCAGUUGGUGGGGUAAAGGCUUACCAAGGCGACGAUCCGUAGCUGGUCUGAGAGGAUGACCAGCCACACUGGGACUGAGACACGGCCCAGACUCCUACGGGAGGCAGCAGUGGGGAAUUUUGGACAAUGGGCGCAACCCUGAUCCAGCCAUGCCGCGUGCAUGAAGAAGGCCUUCGGGUUGUAAACCGCUUUUGUUCGGGAAGAAAUCCUCUGGGCUAAUACCCCGGGGGGAUGACGUUACCGGAAGAAUAAGCACCGGCUAACUACGUG